AGAGUUUGAUCAUGGCUCAGAACGAACGCUGGCGGCGCGCCUAAUACAUGCAAGUCGAGCGAGAAGGUGUAGCAAUACACUUGUAAAGCGGCGAACGGGUGAGGAAUGCAUGGGUAACCUACCCUCGAGUGGGGAAUAACUAGCCGAAGGGUUAGCUAAUACCGCAUACGUUUCCGGGACUUCGGUUCCGGAAAGAAAGCAAUACCGUGGGUAUUGCGCUCAUGGAUGGGCUCAUGUCCUAUCAGCUUGUUGGUGAGGUAACGGCUCACCAAGGCUUCGACGGGUAGCUGGUCUGAGAGGACGAUCAGCCACACUGGCACUGCGACACGGGCCAGACUCCUACGGGAGGCAGCAGUAAGGAAUAUUGCGCAAUGGACGAAAGUCUGACGCAGCGACGCCGCGUGGGGGAUGAAGGUCUUCGGAUUGUAAACCCCUUUCGGGAGGGAAGAUGGAGUGGGUAACCACUUGGACGGUACCUCCAGAAGCAGCCACGGCUAACUUCGUGCCAGCAGCCGCGGUAAUACGAAGGUGGCAAGCGUUGUUCGGAUUCACUGGGCGUACAGGGAGCGUAGGCGGUUGGGUAAGCCCUCCGUGAAAUCUCCGGGCCUAACCCGGAAAGUGCAGAGGGGACUGCUCAGCUAGAGGAUGGGAGAGGAGCGCGGAAUUCCCGGUGUAGCGGUGAAGUGCGUAGAGAUCGGGAGGAAGGCCGGUGGCGAAGGCGGCGCUCUGGAACAUUUCUGACGCUGAGGCUCGAAAGCGUGGGGAGCAAACAGGAUUAGAUACCCUGGUAGUCCAA
rnacentral:rRNA from 1 species